rnacentral:rRNA from 1 species
GAUUAACGCUAGCGGCAGGCCUAAUACAUGCAAGUCGAACGGUAACAGGUGUAGCAAUACAUGCUGACGAGUGGCGCACGGGUGCGUAACACGUAUGCAACCUACCUAUAACUGGGGAAUAGCCUUCCGAAAGGAAGAUUAACACCGCAUAACAUCACGAAACGGCAUCGUUUUGUGAUCAAACCUCCGGGGGUUAUAGAUGGGCAUGCGUAACAUUAGCUAGUUGGUGAGGUAAUGGCUCACCAAGGCUACGAUGUUUAGGGGGUCUGAGAGGAUGAUCCCCCACACUGGUACUGAGACACGGACCAGACUCCCACGGGAGGCAGCAGUAAGGAACAUUGGACAAUGGGGGCAACCCUGAUCCAGCCAUGCCGCGUGAAGGAUGAAGGCCCUCUGGGUUGUAAACUUCUUUUGUACGGGAAUAAACCCCUUUACGUGUAGAGGGUUGAAUGUACCGUAAGAAUAAGGAUCGGCUAACUUCGUGCCAGCCGCCGCAGUAA